AUUGAACGCUGGCGGCAGGCCUAACACAUGCAAGUCGAGCGGAGCGGCGGACGGGUGAGUAAUGCCUAGGAAUCUGCCUGGUAGUGGGGGAUAACGUCCGGAAACGGGCGCUAAUACCGCAUACUCUCAGAUGAGCCUAGGUCGGAUGAGCUAGUUGGUGGGGUAAAGGCCUACCAAGGCGACGAUCCGUAACUGGUCUGAGAGGAUGAUCAGUCAAACGGGAACUGAGACACGGUCCAGACUCCGACGGGAGGCAGCAGUGGGGAAUAUUGGACAAUGGGCGAAAGCCUGAUGCAGCCAGGCCGCGUGUGUGAAGAAGGUCUUCGGAUUGUAAAGCACUUUAAGUUGGGAGGCGUUACCAACAGAAGAAGCACCGGCUAACUCCGUGCCAGCAGCCGCGGUAAUUC
rnacentral:rRNA from 1 species